AAAAAAAUCAUAGAAAAACAUGUAUAAAAUAAGUUUUUGGUUGGGGACCCUCAAAAGCCAUGCAUAGCCCUAUCAUUAGCACCCUUUUAUAAUGGAUGAAUAAUUCGCCACCUUUACACUAACAAAGCAAAGGGCACCCUAUGAGAAUUUUAGAAAAAAUUUAUAUUCAAACAUUAAUUGGUUAUAUUACGAGGCAACAUACAUGUGUGUAUGGUGCUUGCUGAUAAAGGAGGAGGCUGAAUGGAAGAAAGAGAGAGGAG
rnacentral:misc_RNA from 1 species